rnacentral:rRNA from 1 species
GAUGAACGCUGGCGGCGUGCUUAACACAUGCAAGUCGAACGGAAAGGCCCAAGCUUGCUUGGGUACUCGAGUGGCGAACGGGUGAGUAACACGUGGGUGAUCUGCCCUGCACUUCGGGAUAAGCCUGGGAAACUGGGUCUAAUACCGGAUAGGACCACAUUUUGGAUGGUGUGGUGGAAAGUUUUUCGGUGUGGGAUGAGCUCGCGGCCUAUCAGCUUGUUGGUGGGGUAAUGGCUUACCAAGGCGUCGACGGGUAGCCGGCCUGAGAGGGUGUACGGCGGCAUUGGGUCUGAGGUGAGGCCCAAGCUGCGACGGGAGGCAGAAGUGGGGAAUAUUGCACAAUGGGCGCAGGCCUGAUGCAGCAAGGCCGCGUGGGGGAUGACGGCCUUCGGGUUGUAGACUCCUUUCGCUAGGAACGAAGCGUUAUGUGACGGUACCUAAAGAAGAAGCACCGGCUAACUACGUG